AUUGAACGCUGGCGGCAUGCUUUACACAUGCAAGUCGAACGGUAACAGGCCUUCGGGUGCUGACGAGUGGCGCACGGGUGCGUAAUGCAUCGGAACGUGCCCAGAGGUGGGGGAUAACGCAGCGAAAGCUGUGCUAAUACCGCAUGUGAUCUGAGGAUGAAAGCGGGGGACCAAGCAGCAAUGUUUGGCCUCGCGCCUCUGGAGCGGCCGAUGUCAGAUUAGGUAGUUGGUGGGGUAAAGGCCUACCAAGCCGACGAUCUGUAGCUGGUCUGAGAGGACGACCAGCCACACUGGAACUGAGACACGGCCCAGACUCCUACGGGAGGCAGCAGUGGGGAAUUUUGGACAAUGGGCGCAAGCCUGAUCCAGCAAUGCCGCGUGCGGGAAGAAGGCCUUCGGGUUGUAAACCGCUUUUGUACGGAACGAAAAGGCUCUGGCUAAUACCUGGGGCUGAUGACGGUACCGUAAGAAUAAGCACCGGCUAACUACGUG
rnacentral:rRNA from 1 species